rnacentral:misc_RNA from 1 species
GAUGAAGAACGUAGCGAAAUGCGAUACGUAGUGUGAAUUGCAGAAUUCAGUGAAUCAUCGAAUCUUUGAACGCACAUUGCACCUCUCGGUAUUCCGGGAGGUAUGCCUGUUCGAGCGUCAUUUGUACCCUCAAGCUCUGCUUGGUGUUGGGUGUUUGUUCCGCCUCUGUGUGUGAACUCGCCUCAAAACAAUUGGCAGCCGGCGUACUUGUUUCGGAGCGCAGCACAUUUUGCGAUCCAGAUCAACGUACAGCGGCAUCCAAGAAGCCUUAUUUAACGCUCUUGACCUCGGAUCAGGUAGGGAUACCCGCUGAACUUAAGCAUAUCAAUAAGGGGAGGA